rnacentral:rRNA from 1 species
AUUGAACGCUGGCGGCAUGCUUUACACAUGCAAGUCGAACGGCAGCGCGGGCUUCGGCCUGGCGGCGAGUGGCGAUCGGGUGAGUAAUGCAUCGGAACGCGCCCAGUAGUGGGGGAUAGCCCGGCGAAAGCCGGAUUAAUACCGCAUACGACCUGAGGGUGAAAGCGGGGGACCGAAAGGCCUCGCGCUAUUGGAGCGGCCGAUGUCGGAUUAGCUAGUUGGUGGGGUAAAGGCUUACCAAGGCGACGAUCCGUAGCUGGUCUGAGAGGACGACCAGCCACACUGGGACUGAGACACGGCCCAGACUCCUACGGGAGGCAGCAGUGGGGAAUUUUGGACAAUGGGGGCAACCCUGAUCCAGCCAUGCCGCGUGCGGGAAGAAGGCCUUCGGGUUGUAAACCGCUUUUGUUCGGGAAGAAAUCCUCUGGGCUAAUACCCCGGGGGGAUGACGGUACCGGAAGAAUAAGCACCGGCUAACUACGUG